rnacentral:rRNA from 1 species
UGCAAGUCGAGCGGACGGAUGGGAGCUUGCUCCCUGAAGUCAGCGGCGGACGGGUGAGUAACACGUGGGCAACCUGCCUGUAAGACUGGGAUAACUUCGGGAAACCGGAGCUAAUACCGGAUAAUGCAUAACCUCUCAUGAGGUUAUGCUGAAAGAUGGUUUCGGCUAUCACUUACAGAUGGGCCCGCGGCGCAUUAGCUAGUUGGUGAGGUAACGGCUCACCAAGGCAACGAUGCGUAGCCGACCUGAGAGGGUGAUCGGCCACACUGGGACUGAGACACGGCCCAGACUCCUACGGGAGGCAGCAGUAGGGAAUCUUCCGCAAUGGACGAAAGUCUGACGGAGCAACGCCGCGUGAGUGAUGAAGGUUUUCGGAUCGUAAAACUCUGUUGUUAGGGAAGAACAAGUGCCGGAGUAACUGCCGGCACCUUGACGGUACCUAACCAGAAAGCCACGGCUAACUACGUGCCAGCAGCCGCGGUAAUACGUAGGUGGCAAGCGUUGUCCGGAAUUAUUGGGCGUAAAGCGCGCGCAGGCGGUCUCUUAAGUCUGAUGUGAAAGCCCACGGCUCAACCGUGGAGGGUCAUUGGAAACUGGGGGACUUGAGUGC